GAUGAACGCUAGCGGCAGGCCUAAUACAUGCAAGUCGAGGGGUAGAAGAGGCUUGCUUCGUUGAGACCGGCGCACGGGUGCGUAACGCGUAUGCAACCUACCUUCAUCUGGGGGAUAGCCCGGAGAAAUCCGGAUUAAUACCGCAUAAAAUCACAGGAUGUCAUUAUCCAAUGAUCAAACAUUUAUGGGAUGGAUAUGGGCAGGCGUGUCAUUAGUUAGUUGGCGGGGUAACGGCCCACCAAGGCGACGAUGACCAGGGGAUCUGCGUGGAUGGCCACCCACACUGGUACUGAGACACCGACAAGACUCCUACGGGAGGCAGCAGUAAGGAAUAUUGGUCAAUGGAGGCAACUCUGAACCAGCCAUGCCGCGUGCAGGAAGACUGCCCUAUGGGUUGUAAACUGCUUUUAUUCGGGAAUAAACCUUAUUACGUGUAAUAAGCUGAAUGUACCGAAGGAAUAAGGAUCGGCUAACUUCGUGCCAGCAGCCGCCGUAA
rnacentral:rRNA from 1 species